rnacentral:tRNA from 1 species
UGCAUCGGCCGGAAUCGAACCCGGGCCGCCCGCGUGGCAGCGAGCAUUCUACCACUGAACCACCGAUGG